rnacentral:lncRNA from 1 species
AAACUUUCUUGAGCAUGAGGUCACCUUCUCGGAACACACGAGGCUUGACCUUCUUAUCAAACGCUUUCUUCAUUCUCUGCUGAUAUAACUGACCAUGGCACAUGGCAGUUAAUCUCUUCUCUUCAAUUUAAUUCAGUUAGUCAUAACGACUCUGAAUCCAUUCAGCAUCAGUCAACUAGGGGUUUGAGGGUAUGCUUUUUCUUUUAUUUGUUUUUU